UGCAGCUAAUAUAAACAAAUAAAGAGAUGAUGUGAAAAAAAUCUUUAAAAUACUGUGUGGUACACGCUCUCACGAUAAUUAAGAAUCAUUACAGCAGUAGUGCAGUAGGCCACAGAUCUAAGAUUUCAGCUAUAAAAGUCAUUUCCUAGUUCUCUUCAUAUGUUACAAGGACUCAUAAAAUUUUUCAGAACAUACAUUCCUUCAUCCAAACCUGGAUUUAAGUUUUACAGAGUCUGUUUUAUGGACUGUGGCAGCAGUCAGGGCCUGUGAGUGGUUGGCAACCUGUGCUCAAGCCAGCCCUGGGAGCAGCCAAGGCACUGGCCCUUUGUGUUGGCACUGUGCCCCUGCCCUUACUCCUGCCCACACAGCCGUGUGCCUUGCUGGCAUGACACUGUCAUGGUUGCCCGAUGUCACACUGGGCAUCUUUGCGCGCUGGGCCCUGUCCCUAGGCAUGCUGGGGCGCUUGGCCUGCACCCCUCUUGGCAUGGCUCCCCUGUGGGCCUUGCUCCUGCUAAUCACUGAACAGUGACAGUUCUCCCUCCUCUCUCCCUCCUGCCCUCAGACAAGCAGCUAUCUACUUUCUGAAGCUGAAGAAAUAAGUUGAGGAAGAAACAGAAGAGGCCAGCAUUUCACCCUUAUGGGACUGUCUUCAUCAAGGACAGCAAAAAGAAGAAAGCAUGCUGAUAUAUUUGCAUCAAAAAUACAUCUAACAAAUUGGAGGAAAGAAGCAGUGUAUGCUCACCAGGCGGAUCAUCUGUGUAUCUUACUCAGCCAGUUUCCUGCCGUUGGAUAUCAAUUGUCCACUAGGUAUUUUCUUUUUCUAUUCUCACUGUCAGUGUGUUUUGGAGGGUUUCUUGAAGAUUCAGAAAUUUUAAUAAUUAGGCUUGAUGUUUGUUAGAAGGGA
rnacentral:lncRNA from 1 species